AUUGAACGCUGGCGGCAGGCCUAACACAUGCAAGUCGAGCGGAUGAAGGGAGCUUGCUCCUGGAUUCAGCGGCGGACGGGUGAGUAAUGCCUAGGAAUCUGCCUGGUAGUGGGGGAUAACGUCCGGAAACGGGCGCUAAUACCGCAUACGUCCUGAGGGAGAAAGUGGGGGAUCUUCGGACCUCACGCUAUCAGAUGAGCCUAGGUCGGAUUAGCUAGUUGGUGGGGUAAAGGCCUACCAAGGCGACGAUCCGUAACUGGUCUGAGAGGAUGAUCAGUCACAUUGGAACUGAGACACGGUCCAGACUCCUACGGGAGGCAGCAGUGGGGAAUAUUGGACAAUGGGCGAAAGCCUGAUCCAGCCAUGCCGCGUGUGUGAAGAAGGUCUUCGGAUUGUAAAGCACUUUAAGUUGGGAGGAAGGGCAGUAAGUUAAUACCUUGCUGUUUUGACGUUACCAACAGGAUAAGCACCGGCUAACUUCGUG
rnacentral:rRNA from 1 species